rnacentral:rRNA from 1 species
GUGAGGAAUUUUCCGCAAUGGGCGAAAGCCUGACGGAGCAAUGCCGCGUGAAGGAUGAAGGCCUAUGGGUUGUAAACUUCUUUUCUCAGAAAAGAAUUAUGACGGUAUCUGAGGAAUAAGCAUCGGCUAACUCUGUGCCAGCAGCCGCGGUAAGACAGAGGAUGCAAGCGUUAUCCGGAAUGAUUGGGCGUAAAGCGUCUGUAGGUUGUUUAAAAAGUAUUCUGUCAAAGAUUAGGGCUUAACUCUAGAUAGGCAGAAUAAACUUUUAAGCUAGAGUUUGGUAGAGGCAGAGAGAAUUCCCGGUAGAGCGGGGAAAUGCGUAGAUAUCGUGAGGAACACCAAAGGCGAAGGCACUCUGCUGGGCCAAUACUAACACUGAGAGACGAAAGCGAGGGGAGCAAAUGGGAUUAGAUACCCUGGUAGUCC